rnacentral:lncRNA from 1 species
UGAGAUUGUGUACAUGAGCAGAAGGCAGUCCUUAAAGGAAAUGGGAAUAGGAAUCAAAGGCACCGGGAAUGCAGCAAUGAGUCCCGCAGCUUGCUCCUGCGAGUGAUCGGCCAGGACUUUCUUAGUAGAAAGGUACAAAAGGUAUGUGCCAACUAGAAGCACUUUUUGUUCAAGCAUGGUUGUGCAAGCCGUGCGAUCGAACAGGGCCUCCGAUUCUUAGGGGCACCAGUCUGUCGUGAUUCCAAUACUCGAUAGCUCAAGUUUGGCUGUGAUAGGUCCAUGACGAGCGUAUACAUUGUUUCGCUCGUCUGUACGUUGCUUCUUAUUCCACAGUUCAUCGACCUAUGCACGUCUCUAUCUAUUUGACUCUAUGGUAGCUCACUCAAACUUGGUAACUUGCCACCUCCGCUAGGCAGCAAAGCCAGGAAAUCUUUAAGUCUACUGAUUUGCCGUAGUGCUGAACUGCCGCUCAUGCAUGUAAAUUUUAAGAUAACUUUUUUUUUGGUAAAUGUGUCUUAAUCUUGUAAUAGUAUAUUAUUAGUAUUGAUAGAAUUAUAUCUUUGUGGAUAACUAUCUUAGUACUUUCUUCGUUCCAAAUCAUAAGACAAUUUUUUUACCUAGAUGCAUAGUUUCACUAUGCACUUAGAUAUAUGCACUAUAUCUAAAUACAUAGUAAAAACAAUAUACUCCUAAAAAGCCAAAAUGUCUUACAUUUUAACGCUAUAUAAUAUAUUUUUAAGAAAAAAAUGGUAUAUUUAACAUGUAUAUUUUCAAACUUCUCUUUUUGAAUAGGGCCUAUUUUAGAGUUUAGAAUAGGGUCUCGGAUUUUAUCGGCACAGCCCUGUGUUAAAGUACAGUUGCUUUUGGUCAAGCACAGUGCUUUGGUCUUAAGUAUAGCUGUGAUAUCAAUCUGUGCUUCGGUCAGGUACCGUGGGAAGAUGGAAAGCUCUGUGCUGGGUUGGAUGAACUUAAAUUCCUCAAAGAGCUUGGCCUGUCAACUGUUUUGAAGAAAGAGUCUGAAACAAAUACUCAGGAUGUGAUGGGGCCAUGAAGAGAAUAAUUGUGUUGUGAUAUAUGUUGAGUACUCUCACUAGAAGUAGACAGUUGAUCAUACUGAACCUAGAGUGCAUGGAAAUUCUUGCUGGAGUGCAGUCCAAAGGGCGCCUAUAUACAUUUUUUUUGCGUGAGUGAUGUAUACCCACACCCCCAAAACUUUGGAUGACCCACCUAGUGGAGUGUUAAAAAAAUACGACAAAUUGCUAUCUCUCAUGGUCAAUGAAAAAUGAGCACCAAUUUCUAAGCUGCUUGAAAAGGCUACUUGUUUAAAUUCAGAGUCUCCUUCAGUAAUCUCUUUUCUUACUGCAUGUAUCACUGCUUUCUUCAUGUACCAGCACGGCUUUGCUGACGCAAGUAAUGGCAGAGUGAAGGAAUAAAGGAUGGGAACUGCCGUGAUGAAGUAAUGGUAGACUAAGGAAAUAAAUGAUGGAAACUGCCCUAAAUCAGAUGAUAAACGCAAUUGUACUGUAUGUAUGACAAAGUAACACACUAUCUUCAUAUAAUAUAUUCAUUAUUUAUUGUAGAGUGAAAUGAUGCUGCAGAUUGUAAUGUAUGCAUGAAUGAAUUUCAGUAAGUUGCUUGCAUGUGCCACCACCAACACCGCUGGUGUCUAGGCAACAUGUGUGUGUGUAUAUACGUCCGGAGAUCACUGG